rnacentral:rRNA from 1 species
GGAAUAUUGGUCAAUGGGCGAGAGCCUGAACCAGCCAUGCCGCGUGCAGGAUGACGGCCCUAUGGGUUGUAAACUGCUUUUGUUAGGGAAGAAACUUUCCGAUUCAUCGGCAACUGACGGUACCUAAAGAAUAAGCACCGGCUAACUCCGUGCCCGCAGCCGCGGUAAUACGGAGGGUGCAAGCGUUAUCCGGAUUCACUGGGUUUAAAGGGUGCGUAGGCGGGUUUUUAAGUCAGUGGUGAAAGCCUCGAGCUCAACUCGAGAAUUGCCAUUGAAACUGAAUACCUUGAGUAUAGUUGAGGUGGGCGGAAUGUGUCAUGUAGCGGUGAAAUGCUCAGAUAUGACAUAGAACACCUAUUGCGAAGGCAGCUCACUAAACUAUCACUGACGCUGAGGCACGAAAGCGUGGGGAGCG